rnacentral:tRNA from 1 species
UCGGUAGCUCAGUUGGUAGAGCAACGGACUGAAAAUCCGUGUGUCGGCGGUUCGAACCCGCCC